GAUAUUUAUUCCAAGCUUCGAUUAAAAGAUUCUAGAUUAACUUACUCAGGAGCUUACUCAAUCAUCCUGAAUCUUUUCUUUUAGGCUAAACUUAUUUCGGCCUCUCAUGAUAUCCCACUUGCAUUUCUCAUAUGGUGAUACAAAAUCCAUAAUCAACUCAUGGCCUUGAUUUAUAAAUAUUUAACUCACAAGAAUCUAAUAAUCUGGUUCAAAGAUUUACAAGAAAUUCUACUAAGAUAUAAGCUCUAUAAUUUUACAUUGAGAUCAACUCCUCAAAUAAGUAAAAUAUUUUUAUUUGCAGUACUGCAAACACUUUGGGAUCUUGUAAAUCUACUAGACUUAGAGAA
rnacentral:lncRNA from 1 species